UAGGGAAUCUUCCACAAUGGACGAAAGUCUGAUGGAGCAACGCCGCGUGAGUGAAGAAGGGUUUCGGCUCGUAAAACACUGUUGUAAGAGAAGAAUGACAUUGAGAGUAACUGUUCAAUGUGUGACGGUAUCUUACCAGAAAGGAACGGCUAAAUACGUGUCAG
rnacentral:rRNA from 1 species